rnacentral:rRNA from 1 species
CGCGUAGGCGGUCGGUAAGUCGGUUGUGAAAUCCCUCGGCUCAACCGAGGAACUGCAUCCGAUACUGCUCGGCUAGAGUACGGAAGGGAGAGUGGAACUCCUGGUGGAGCGGUGAAAUGCGUAGAUAUCAGGAGGAACGCCGGUGGCGAAAGCGACUCUCUGGUCCGUAACUGACGCUGAGGCGCGAAAGCCAGGGGAGCGAACG